CCGCCGCCGCCGCCGCCCGCCCAUUCCUCCAGCAACAGGUUCCCCCGGGAGCGGGAGGGGCGGGAGCGAAGCGCAGCUCGCAGAGCGGAACGUCCCCGAAGUCUCCGAGCCGUCGAUCCCGCCCGAGGCAGACGGCGCUUCCCCCGAACCUCCCCCGGAGUCCCCGCCGGACCCCACCUCCGGGACUCGCUCGCCCCGCCGUGGCCUGGAGCGCACCCCAUCCUAAACGGAAGGCACUCGGCCGCUACUGUAAUGCACCCCCAACCCGUAAAAUCUUGAAGAUGUUAAAAGGACUCAUGGAUAAAUAACAUUUACGCCACAUUUAUCCUCAUCUAGAAGCUUCCGGAAGAAAAAGAAAUAAGUCUAGAAAAGAAGUAUAGUGGACUGUCUUGAAAACAAGGUGAAAGAAAAAUUUGACGCUGCAGAUUCCCUCUGGAUAGGACCAUUCGGGAGAGAAGGAGAAAGUGGAUGAGAAACUUUGUGGUUGUUUUUUUCUUCUCUCAUAAAAACAACGAAAUGGCCCAGACCUGGACUAUUCGAGGAAUGAGAGAAGACAGAGAAGAUUGCACACUCUCGACUGGUCCCCAGAGGCAGCAGGCAGCCCAGAUUUGAAGCAAUUGCCCCAUGUUCGGGAUGAUUUCUGCCUUUUCCUGCCAAAGCGUUGCUUCAUUUUGCAAGGAAGUCAGGAUGAAGAUGAAAGUCUUCAACACAGCCAGAAGUUCCUGAGAGCUGAGUCCCCCACCUCAGAGCCUCACCUGGAACCGCCCUUGCCCUGACUCUCUGCUCUCCAGCUCAUAGUGGCUUUCUGUUCUACUUUUCUACUCACCUUUCUCCUUUGGGAACUUUUCACUUGCUUUUCUCUUACCUGGAAGGUGGGCUCUCUUUCCCAAGCUUGACUUUGGCUCAGUCAUGACUAUUCUGAUGACCUACCCUUGUUACCUUGCCUCAGGGUACGAGGGGGAAGCACCCCUCUGGCCUGCCUGGAAACGGAUGUGUUACAUCCUGGCCAGGCCUGCCUGGCCCCCGCGAGAGGGGGCCCAUCUGAUGGCCCUGGCUCUGCCCUCCCUCUCCUGCGGGGGAGUGCCAGGCUGGGUGACACUGCAGGGGCUUCCGGGGCAGCAAGGCUGCGUGUCCAGUCCAGCUUGCCUUGUCACGGAGGAAGCAAGUUCUGAGAUUGACCUUGGCGGGGGCAUUUUCUGAAGGCAACUGUACCCUUCAUCUACCUUUGGUUCACACAUUCCGACUGCCAGCGGGCCUGGCUCAAAGCCAUUUUGGCAAAGAGGAGAAUUUAUAGCCUGAUUAGUUUAAUUUUGUUUUCUUCCCAAAUUCCUAUCCUCAGGCAGAAAUAAUCUCCAAACAGCUUUUAUAGCAGGGGGAUAAAAUGGGGGAAGCGUGCAGGGGGAAGAGAUCACAGCAAGGACACCGAAGUUGGAAAUAGGUUAGCUCCUCAUUUAAUAAUAAUACAUUAUUUUUAUAAUAAUAGGUAACACUUACUAAAUACCUACUAAGUCCUGGGUACUGCACUAGGGAUUUGUACAUAUAUUAGCUCAUUUAAUUUUUUGAACUCUAGCCCUUUAAGUUGGGUUCUGUUAUGAUUUCUACUUUAUAGAUUAGGAAAGUUGAGGAUGAAAGAGGUUAAGAAAUUUGCCCAAAGUUAGUAAGUAGCAGAGGUGGGCUUAAAGCCGAAGGUAGGGAAGCUGAAAUCGUUGCCUUGAGGAUGAGAAUAUCAAAUUACAUUAUGGUUUCCAGUGCAGGGGUCCAGCAAAGACUGAUCAUCAAAACAGUGGAUUCUAGAGAGAUCCAAGCAUGACUUAGGAUAUUCCCCAGGUGCCCACACGCCAGUGAUUACUUUCCAGAUACUUAUCCAGUUCACGGGGAAGCAGCCUGGUGUAAGAGAGAACAUGAGCUUUGGAAUCAUGUAGACCUGGGUUUGAAACUGAACACAGCCUCUUCUAUCUGUACCAUGUCACAUACAAUAUAUAACUUCAUUGUGACUCAGUUUUCUCACCUUUAAAAUGGUCAUUGUGAUUCAUAACUCAUAGGGCUGUGAAGAUUAAGUUGGAAAACCUAAUACAGCUUUUUGCACCGUGCCUGGCAGGUUAAUAGUGACCAAUAAAUGGUAGCUAUUAGCAUGAAACUGAUGCGAAGGGAAGCCAGAGAUGCUUAUUAUUAAUCCCCCCUUCCAUAUUUCAUUAUUAGCUGAUAAAUUCCACUGUUGACAUUUGAAUUAAGGUGUACUCUCUCUGAGAGGCCUGAUUAAAAACAAAAUACCUUACAGGGAAAACACAUUAAACUAUGAGCAGUCUCAGUUAUUAAGUCUUGAUUAAUAAUUAAGCUACUUAUUGUGUAAGCUGGAACAUAAGACAGUAGCUUGCAGAAAAAAAGCCUUAAAUUAGUAAUACAACAGCUGCAUCCAGAUACUAACUGCUAUAUAUAAAAUUGAUAAACAACAAGUUUCUACUGUAUAGCACAGAGAACUAUAUUCAAUAUCUUGUAGUAACCUAGAAUGAAAAAGAAUAUGAAAAUGAAUAUAUGUAUGUUCAUGUAUGACUGAACGAUUAUGCUGUACACCAGAAAUUGACACAUUAUAAAAUGAUUAUACUUCAAAAAAAGUCGAAGACAACAGCUGUAUCCAUUUAAUUAGGGUAUAUUAUAUGUUUGAUAUAUAUUAUAUAAUCUUUAUGACUACCGUGUGGGGAUGGUUCUAUUAUCAUUUGAUUUAUGAGGUUUAGGAAGAGAUUAAGCAACAUGUCUGAAGCCACCUGAGACCAAAUGAUGGGAAAAGGAUUCAAGUAGAAGCCUAACUCCAAUAGCCAUACUUUCCCCGUGAUGCCUCGCUCCUCUUGGGCCUGGUAGUCCCACUUCUGGGAAAAUGUCCUAAGUAAAUAAUUUAAAAAGAAAAGGUCAGUUGUUAAAACACAAACAAAAAAUUAUUUAUAGCUCAUAUUCACAUGGCCCUAUGACCCCAGGUUGGAAAGUGAAGAGAGGCAAGCUGUCACACUUUAACAUAAUGUAGGAAAUUUCAGAAGACCAAUACAUGAAUCAUGUCAACGGAGAACAUCUGAAACUAUAUUUAGUAAAAAGGACAGAAUGCAAAAUAGUAGCAUAAACAGUACAUACGCACUUCUGAAAACUAGAGAAAAUUGGUAUCUGUAUACCAAUAAGGAUGAGAAAUAUUUAGUUUUACAAAUGAUUAGUGUAUGAAACCUCUUUUGUUGUAUUUUGGGGCAUAGCUGUUGUAAUGUAGUGUUCAUUUUAACAGAAAGAAAGAAAGCAUAUUGAACCAAGUUCUUAAAAAGGAGAUAGACUCUUUAAAACUAUCUAGAUUUAAGUUGUAAAACUGGCUUCUUGAAAACACUGAAACAAAAGGUAAUCACUAUCUUGAGAGGGAUUUGUGUAUUACAGUGUUUCUUCACCUGGAAUUUUAGGACUCUGAGGGACAGUGAUCGAGGGACCCCAAAUCUGUACUGUAUUUCACAAAACAUGAUGGAAAUUGUGUAUAUUAAAAGCACGUUUAAUCACCUCAGCUAUAGUUCAGGGUAUAAGAGUUUUGCUGUUAUCAGAUCACCUGAAUUUGAAUCCCAGCUUUAUUCCCUACUUGCUGAAUGAUGCUGGUCAAGCUAAUCUCUUCUGUUUCCUUGUUUGUAAAAUGAAGUUAAUAAUAAAACCCACCUCAGUGGGUUACUGCCCACAUAUGGUAAGUUAUCUGUUAAACAUUAGCUAUUAUUAAACUCUAAAGCUUCUUGCUUUGAUCUGGAGUUAUAUCAGUUCAGCACUAAUUUUAUUAUCUCAAAUCAGAAAUCUCCAUUGACAAUUGUACAAGCUUUUGAUUGCCCAAAUAUGGGAAAAUGAAUGAACUGUGAGUAAAUGCAAUUUGGUCAAUAAUAUCUUUCAAAAUAUGGGUGAGAGGAGGCAGGCAGGGAGAAGUGCUAGGGAUCGUUGGUGAUAAAAUAUGCGGAUGAGUACACUAGAUGGUGGCAUUUGAUAAGGACAAGGGGGAUGCGAUGCCUGAGCAAAGCAUGGAGGUGGGGAGGUGGGAAGCCGGCAGCCACGCUGUCAGAGGGAGACAGUCAAGCUUUGUUGAGGCCGGACCCGCCCUGAAGACAGAUCACUGUCCUCCUCUGCUCCCCGUGCAGUGGUUGGAUUGUGACACCUGAACCCAAACCAGGACCUGUAGAGGUGAAAAUGUGUUUCUAAAGGGGGUUGUGCAACCUGGGUACCAGAGGGGCCUCCCCAUGCCUGGGAAGUCUGCGUAAACUUGACCUGAACCUGAAUUCCACGGCCACGGCCUGUGACAUCAUCACAAGGCCUCCGCAUGGUUUCUCUCUGGCUCUGACCUCUUCCUCUACUUGCUGCUUUGUGCUGCUCCAAGUCAAAGGAGAGGCAAGUCCGGCCCUUCCUCCAAGUUCCACAAACAGCGCACAGGCGCUGAUUCUUUAAUGAACUUAGUAAAAUGCUAAUGGACGGGGGCAGGUAUCCCAGGUCCAGGCUGCAUCCCACACACAUGGCCUCUGCCUCCUUCCAGUUUCAUCUCCUCCACCUUUCUGGUCUCUUUCCCUCUCCUCCCCCUUCUCAUGUGAGAGAGAUAAACCUACUCCAGCCCAAGCACUUAUGGUAUUUUGCCAACAAAGAUAGUUUGCUGGAAUUCUGAUCAAAAUAUUUUCUCACUCAUAUUACAGUUGUAUUAGGCCAAUGUAACUUUUAUGACUAUCAUUUAAGGCAAAAGAAGUGCUUAUAAAUAAUAUUUAAUUAUAAAAGCUAUUAAAAUGCUUACAAAUGGUGGUCUGUCAGUGGAGUUUUGACACAUCAGAUCCCCAGUGGUGGCAAAGAGUUGGGACUCACAAUAAGGGAAUGGGGAGCUGUAGGGCCCAUCCUCAAGACCAGAGAAAGAGCCUGGAGUCAGCAACAGAGACAACAGUUAUUUGAUAGAUGGGGAAUCUUACACAUCUGAAGCAAGAGGGUCCUAGAGCGAUACCCCACUGUGGAUGGCAGACGACAGGCAGGACAUGGCAGCGGUCUUCACUACCAAGGGAAGAGGGAGGUAACCAGUUAUAGGGGGAAUUGAUGUUUCAUUGGUUACCAGGGAAACCAGCGGAGGGGCAUGCCCUUCCCUGCCCCUUUGAUAAGCUAUCAGAGCAGAGAUGUUCUGAGCUAAAGAUUAGAACAAUCACUAGCAGAGGCCAGGGGCAAGUAUGUAGGCAUUUACUGCUGAGGCUCUAGGAUUCAGAAGGAAGGUGGGUCCUAUGGGUAGGUGUGGGUGAGCAGGGACUGGUGGAGCAGAGGAUGUACAGAGAGCAAGAGAACAGCCAUCUUGGGUGGUCUGCCCAUACAGGAGCCAUGGAGUCAUUGAAGAAUCCUAGUAGGAGAUUUAUGCCAUUCAACUGAUGUCUUUUAGGAAGGUCACUCUAGUAGCCUGAGGGGAAAGGACAGGAGGGAGGCAAAAGUAGAUGCAAAGAAACCAGGGGCAGCAGACAAGAAGCUCUGGGAUAAGACAUUGCUGGUGGCAGUGGAAUGGAGGGGUGGGUUUGGGAGCUUUAGAAACUAGUGGCCAGUGGAUGUGGGAAGUGGGGGAGAAGAUCAUGAAUUAGGGUGUUCAGCUUGUCUUAGUUUGCCUGGAACUUUACCAGUUUUAAAACUGAAAGUCUUGUGUUUUGUGAACCCCCUCAGUCCUGAGGAAAUUAAGCCGGCUGGUCAUCUUCUAGGCUUUUUGGGAGAGUGGAAGUUUGACAGCAGAAGAUGAGAGGAAGGACAUAGAAGGAGGUAGUUACUUGGUGAUGAAGUGAGAGGGGAAGUAGUGGAGGUGGUGCCUGGUGAUAACAGAAUCUUGAAAUAAUCCUGUGUUUGAGAUGCCUGUGGGAUAUUUAAAUCAACGUUAACAGCCUGGUGGUCAGAUAAGAAGUCAAGGCAGAUAAAGGCUUGAUAACAACCAAUCAGCAGUCACAAUAACCACAAUCUAACAAAAAAACUACUCCAAGUACUUUGUGGUUUUGGCUUCAUUUGAUCUUCACAAUAACCCCAUGAGGUGGGGAUUAUUAUUACCAUUUUCCAGUUGAGGAAACUGAGGCGCAGAAAGGAUAAGGAACUUGUUCAAGGGCAAAGUCAAAAAGCUAGUAAGUGGAGGUGCUGGACAAACAUUUCUGGCCCAAGACGUUCUUUGAGACACGUGUUACAGGAGCAAAGCAUCAGGAACACCCUAAUGAGGAGGCAAAUAGGUAAAUUAGGAUUCAUUCAUAAAGGAAUGAGUGUGCUCAGUUUGUCCCCUGCCCCCACUCCCAGAAAACGAAUGCCACCCUCCCCUCUUUCUCUACCCCCUGCAGGGCACUGGCUCUGCUGGUCUUGUUCUUUUAGACCUCUGUGAUGUCAGAAGGACAAGCAGGUGAGAGCCAAGGUGAGAGGGAGUGUUGAAGACAUUGGUAUGGGAGCAGCUGUGACACAUCAGGGACAUGGAAGAGAGAAAAAUGAAACUUUUUAAAGACGUAUUCCUGUUGCAUGAAUCCCCUUCAUGGUAUUCAAAAAUACAAAGGGCUUGAGCUUUUUAGAAAUCACUUACUGGGGGCUGAGCUCAAUUUCUGUGACAGUGACUGCGCUUUUCAUCAAGGCUGGGGUAAUGGCUUUACUGGUAUUGCCACAGUAUUGUCACAACAUCGGGGGUGACAGAAAUGAGGCAGAAGGGCCUAGAAACCGCCCAAAUAGGAAGGGCAUUGGGAAUAACCAGAUACUGAGAGUUUAUGUUUCUGAGUCCAAACUCGUUCUGCUCACUGCAUGACAGGCCAAUACAUCAAGAGACGAGGUGUUGGGGCAAGGAAUAACGGCUUGAUUCAGAAAGCCAUCAGAACAAGAAGAUGGUGGACUUGGUGGACUAAUGUCCUAGAGAACCAUCUUCUUGAGUUUGAAUUCAGGCUCCUUUCAUACUAAAAGGGGAAGGGGUAAAAUCCUGGUUCUGGCCAGACUCUGGAAGGGAUGUGUUAAUUUCUUCCUUCCCACAGCCAUUCACAGGCGAGCCUGGUCAGGAUGUUUCCUGUGAGUUAAAUAAAGAUAUUUUAGCUUAACUAAGCUCAUUACCUGGGAGACAGGAUUCCCAGAGAUGGGCCAUUAUGUAUAAUGUAAGCUUAUAGACAACGUCCCUUUAAUGGCUAACAAGCAAUAGAAUACAAAGUUUAAAGAAACAGAUUUAAUACAGAGUCAGAUUUGUUCUUCCCUAUUAGAUUUACCAUGUGCAGGUGCUGGAAAUCCAUUCAAACGGGAUAAACCACAGCCCCGGGCUGCCUGGAGCUCCCAGCUUCCUGGAGGAGAAGGACACAGAAAUAAAUGUUACUAUAAUGCACAGGAAGAAGAAAACUCUGCCUGAGGACAGCCCAGCCACUCAGAGACCGUAGCAGCUCAACCAAUGAGAAGCCUCCAUACUUUGGCCUCCCAGGUUCCAAUGGAUUCUUUAUUACAGCCCAUCCAACCCCCCAGCUCCCCAGCCUUUCCCUACAAAAACAUUAUCAAUUAUCUACUAUGUGCCAAGAAAUCAACUUGACACCAGCAAGUGAGGAAUUUGAUAUAUAACACCAAGAGUGGACCGUGUGGCUUGAGGAGUUUCGUGGGAACAUGAGGAUGGUACCCCACCUGGUGACAUGUUACCCUGCUGGCAUGGUGACUGAUUCUUCACCUGACCAGGACACCGUUCGAAGCAGGAUCUGGUGAGCUGGCCUGGGCCCAGGUCGUGAAGGAUGGUUUAGCGGUCGGAUGGAAACAUGGAAUCAUCGCCCCCAUGGACUUGCCCUGAGGCUGCUCCGGGAAGAGUGGCAGGAGGAUGACAGGGCAUUUGUCAAGAAUAAUUGGCAGCAGUCAUUUACUAUCACAUGGCCUGAGCUGGUGAUAACAGUUGAUGUCAACAAAGUUACCAACAAAACUCCAAAGGAAAAGGAAGAGAUUUACUAACAAGAUGAAAUGCCAAGGUUACCUUUGCACUGGGACAAGUGGGCAAUAAAGUACCACCUGAGCAGGCUGGUGCAUUCCAAGCUCUGUUGCUCCAACCCCAAAAGGAAUACGGUCAGCACUUCUGGAAGAGACAUUGCAGGAGGUGAGUCCAGAAGUAUGCACUGAAGGGAGGCAGGGGAGAGCAAGAAAAGCUACACCAGUACGUCAGACUCAGUCAAGGAAGGCUGUUAGCAGGAGCUAAAUCCCUUGCUCUGCCCGUUCCUUUAAUGAGUACUGCUUUCAUUUUGGAAUUUUGGCCCCAGGGCUGUGACUUAGAAGGAGACCUGCAGGAGCACACUAAUAGUCUAGUUUCAUCCUUCCAGCUGCCAGGCACAGAUGAAUACAGGUUUGUACUGGA